rnacentral:rRNA from 1 species
CCUACGGGAGGCAGCAGUGGGGAAUCUUGCACAAUGGGGGAAACCCUGAUGCAGCGAUGCCGCGUGAGUGAAGAAGGCCUUUGGGUUGUAAAACUCUUUCGUCGGGGAAGAAAAUGACUGUACCCGAAUAAGAAGGUCCGGCUAACUUCGUGCCAGCAGCCGCGGUAAUACGAAGGGACCUAGCGUAGUUCGGAAUUACUGGGCUUAAAGAGCUCGUAGGUGGUUAAAAAAGUUGGUGGUGAAAUCCCAAGGCUUAACCUUGGAACUGCCAUCAAAACUUUUUAGCUAGAGUAUGAUAGAGGAAAGUGGAAUUUCUAGUGUAGAGGUGAAAUUCGUAGAUAUUAGAAAGAACACCAAAUGCGAAGGCAACUUUCUGGAUCAUUACUGACACUGAGGAGCGAAAGCAUGGGUAGCGAAGAGGAUUAGAUACCCUCGUAGUCCAUGCUGUAAACGAUGUGUGCUAGACGUUGGAAAUUUUAUUUUCAGUGUCGCAGCAAAAGCGUUAAGCACACCGCCUGGGGAGUACGACCGCAAGGUUAAAACUCAAAUGAAUUGA